rnacentral:rRNA from 1 species
UACGAAGGGGGCUAGCGUUGUUCGGAAUUACUGGGCGUAAAGCGUGCGCCGGCUGCUUCUCAAGUCAGGGGUGAAAGCCCAGAGCUCAACUCUGGAAUUGCCUUUGAGACUGAGUGGCUUGAGUACGAGAGAGGUGAGUGGAAUUCCCAGUGUAGAGGUGAAAUUCGUAGAUAUUGGGAAGAACACCGGUGGCGAAGGCGGCUCACUGGCUCGUAACUGACGCUCAUGCACGACAGCGUGGGGAUCAAACAGG